GACGAACGCUGGCGGCGUGCUUAACACAUGCAAGUCGAACGAUGAAGCUGGAGCUUGCUCCGGUGGAUUAGUGGCGAACGGGUGAGUAACACGUGAGAAAUCUGCCCUUGACUCUGGGAUAACUGCGGGAAACUGUAGCUAAUACCGGAUAUUUUCCUUGGUGGGCAUCCACUGGGGAAGAAAGAAUUUCGGUCAAGGAUGAUCUCGCGGCCUAUCAGCUAGUUGGUGAGGUAAUGGCUCACCAAGGCGACGACGGGUAGUCGGCCUGAGAGGGUGACCGGUCACACUGGGACUGAGACACGGCCCAGACUCCUACGGGAGGCAGCAGUGGGGAAUAUUGCACAAUGGGCGCAAGCCUGAUGCAGCAACGCCGCGUGAGGGAUGAAGGCCUUCGGGUUGUAAACCUCUUUUAGCAGGGAAGAAGCGAAAGUGACGGUACCUGCAGAAAAAGCACCGGCUAACUACGUGCCAGCAGCCGCCGUAA
rnacentral:rRNA from 1 species